rnacentral:tRNA from 1 species
GAGCCUGUAGCUCAGCCUGGUUAGAGCGCCGGUCUUAUAAGAAAUGCGUUCGUUAGAGCGUAUCCUUUCAUAGGUGACCUAAGAAAGCCGGAGGUCCCAGGUUCAAAUCCUGGCAGGCUCA